rnacentral:rRNA from 1 species
UACGUAGGGUGCGAGCGUUGCCCGGAUUUAUUGGGCGUAAAGAGCUCGUAGGCGGCUUGUUGCGUCGACUGUGAAAACCCGCGGCUUAACCGCGGGCUUGCAGUUGAUACGGGCAGGCUAGAGUUCGGUAGGGGAGACUGGAAUUCCUGGUGUAGCGGUGAAAUGCGCAGAUAUCAGGAGGAACACCGGUGGCGAAGGCGGGGUCUCUGGGCCGAUACUGACGCUGAGGAGCGAAAAGCGUGGGGGAGCGAACAGG